AACAAAACAGCUCGAACGGAAGAGUAACACGAGUGUUAAAAUAAAAUGUUUAUUUUAUCGGGUUAAAACAAACAAAAAAAUCACGAGAAUUGAAAGCGGAACCAGAGACCGGGAAUACAGCGUUCCUAUACCAAACAGAAGUAAGGCUCAAUAAACAAACAGGAUUGGACGGCUUAAUUAAAAUAAAAAAAAACAACUGCAGAGUAGGCGGCAGAAAUAAACAAAUUGCAACGUGAAGAGAAAGGAACAAAUGGAACAGGGAUAGCGGAGUAAGCUAAGGACUUUGAUCAUAGCGGACCUUUACAACAGCCUUAACUUAAACAAGGAACCAAAGCACAAUAUACCGUAAGCGUUGUAAGCAUCGUAAAGUAGAAUACCGAAUACAAAAGUAGCAUGCAAUUUCCAAAUUCCAAAAACCUUAUUGCAAGUCAGAUAAUCCGAAUGUAAUAAAUGAGAAUUUCAUGAAACGGCAUGUUUUGAGAUAAAAACAUUAAAUAAGAGACAAAGGAGAAAUAGCAUAUACAAGUACAAAAUUUAAAGGCCACUUGAAAAUUCAGAAACUAGUCGUAUCCACAUUGACACAGCAGAAUGAAAUAUAUAUAUAUACAGACAAAAGGCACCAAGGUAAC